UCGAACGGACUCAUAUUGAAACCUAGUGAUGUAUGAGUUAGUGGCGGACGGGUGAGUAACGCGUGGAGAACCUGCCGUAUACUGGGGGAUAACACUUAGAAAUAGGUGCUAAUACCGCAUAAGCGCACAGCUUCGCAUGAAGCAGUGUGAAAAACUCCGGUGGUAUACGAUGGAUCCGCGUCUGAUUAGCUUGUUGGCGGGGUAAAGGCCCACCAAGGCGACGAUCAGUAGCCGGCCUGAGAGGGUGAACGGCCACAUUGGGACUGAGACACGGCCCAAACUCCUACGGGAGGCAGCAGUGGGGAAUAUUGCACAAUGGGGGAAACCCUGAUGCAGCGACGCCGCGUGAGUGAAGAAGUAUUUCGGUACGUAAAGCUCUAUCAGCAGGGAAGAAAAUGACGGUACCUGACUAAGAAGCCCCGGCUAACUACGUGCCAGCAGCCGCGGUAAUACGUAGGGGGCAAGCGUUAUCCGGAUUUACUGGGUGUAAAGGGAGCGUAGACGGCAGCGCAAGUCUGGAGUGAAAUCCCAUGGCUUAACCAUGGAACUGCUUUGGAAACUGUGCAGCUGGAGUGCAGGAGAGGUAAGCGGAAUUCCUAGUGUAGCGGUGAAAUGCGUAGAUAUUAGGAGGAACACCAGUGGCGAAGGCGGCUUACUGGACUGUAACUGACGUUGAGGCUCGAAAGCGUGGGGAGCAAACAGGAUUAGAUACCCUGGU
rnacentral:rRNA from 1 species